rnacentral:lncRNA from 1 species
CUACAGUUGCAGAAAGGUUAGCAUACACCCAAUUAACCCUUAGCACAAUUUGUUUUCACAGACAGUGCUCUGGAAGCACAUAAAGGCACUACAAGAACUGCAGGAGAGAGAAGGUCUGCGUGCAGCCAACAAGCUUACAAAGGCCCACAUCGCCUACUACCAGCAGAUCAUGAAGGUGAAGCUGGCGGCCCAGACAUUCAGCAGCUCCGUGAGCAAGGCACUGGAGUUUGCUUCCUUGCUGAAGCUGCCAGGUUUCCAUGGUUGCAAGGGUACAGCCAAGUUUGUGGCCAUGGUAGACCGUGCAUUUGACCUGCUGAACUCCAGCAAUCCUGUUGCUGCUGGUUUCAAG